GAUGAACGCUGGCGGCGUGCCUAAUACAUGCAAGUCGAGCGAACGGACGAGAAGCUUGCUUUUCUGAUGUUAGCGGCGGACGGGUGAGUAACACGUGGAUAACCUACCUAUAAGACUGGGAUAACUUCGGGAAACCGGAGCUAAUACCGGAUAAUAUUUUGAACCGCAUGGUUCAAAAGUGAAAGACGGUCUUGCUGUCACUUAUAGAUGGAUCCGCGCUGCAUUAGCUAGUUGGUAAGGUAACGGCUUACCAAGGCAACGAUGCAUAGCCGACCUGAGAGGGUGAUCGGCCAAACGGAAACUGGGACACGGUCCAGACUCCUAGGGGAGGCAGCAGAAGGAAAUAUUCCGAAAUGGGCGAAGGCUUGACGGAGAAACGCGGCGUGAGUGAUGAAGGUCUUCGGAUCGUAAAACUCUGUUAUAAGGGAAGAACAAAGGUGUAGGUAACUGUGCACAUCUUGACGGUACCUAAUAAGAAAGCCACGGCUAACUACGU
rnacentral:rRNA from 1 species